AGGCUGGCUUGCCAACGUGGCAUCCUGACAUGUGGGUCCCACGCUGACUCAGCCGCCACGUCAGAUAAAACCGGGGUCAAAAUCGCCGAGGGACCUAGUUUGCACUGGUUUUGUAAGUUGGGGGAUGCGUUGUAUUCGGUUUUGUGAUUGGGGGGCGAUUUUUUAACCUGAUGAGGGACCUUCGGUGUACUUUUUCCUAAGUUGGGCGGGGGAAGAAAUCCAAACGGUCCAAUUAAAAGAGCGAAGUAAAAUUCCAAAUUAAUUCGAAGAAUCGGCGUCACCAAAUCAAUCUCGCCCUUGGUUAAUCUUGUACGAUUGUUGUGAAAAUCUUAACAUCAAAUUAAGAGAUUGAUUUAAUCAAACAUUACACCAAAUUAACCGAUACACGUUUCAGCAUGUACGUAGGAGUUAGGAUAGGAGAAAAUCACCAGCAAUUAAGCCAUUAAUUAACAAUGACCGGAAAAGGGAGCGCGUGAUCUACCUACCAAUAAUUCCAAUUCCUAAGCCAAGAAACUAACUAACUAACGUACGUGCUCACUGCCAUUGUCGUCAUCGAUAAUCGUCGGUUGCAAUAUCCUCUUUUCCGUUGCCAUUUCGCUUUCCAAGCCUCCAACUUUUAUGCUGUUCAUGAGCAUGACAGCGUGCAUACAUGGCAUUACAGAAUCUACAGAUGCACAGGCUAGCUGCUCUGCUGAGAUAGGCGCAGGCGCAGCGCAAUCCAAAGCAGCUGACGCCUUUUGCAUCCUGCCUUCUUUGUAGGCUUCGUCCUCCUACCUCUGCCAUGGCUCAGCGACACUGGCCAUGGCGGCUCGCCGUGUUCGUCGCCGCCGUCGUGACGCCGGUGGCUGCCGAGGAGAGGCUGGUGGUGGGCAUGACUCUCCUCCAAGCUGCCACAUCGACAGGAGCAGUGUGCCUCGACGGGAGCCCGCCGGCGUACCACCUCCACCGGGGCUCUGGCGGCGGCGCCGGCGGCUGGGUGCUCCAGUUCGAGGGCGGCGGGUGGUGCAACGACGCGCCGUCGUGCGCGGAAAGGGCCGGCACGCGGCGAGGCUCCACGCGCUCCAUGGACAGCCUCGAGGUGUUCUCCGGCCUCCUCAGCAACGAUCCGGACAUGAAUCCAGAUUUUUACAACUGGAAUCGUGUCAAGCUGAGGUACUGCGAUGGUGGCUCCUUCGCCGGUGAUUCAGAACUCAGAAAUGGCUCUUCAGUCCUCUACUUCAGAGGUCAGAGGAUAUGGGACGCUAUCAUCAGUGAUCUCCUUCCAAAAGGCCUUGCAAAAGCCCAAAAGGUAUUGCUCUCAGGCUGUUCAGCAGGAGGCCUAGCUACAUUCUUCCACUGCGACGACCUCAAAGGACGUCUCGGAGAUGCUGUCACUGUGAAAUGCUUGAGUGACGCAGGAUUUUUCCUUGAUGUGGAUGACAUUACUGGCAACAACACUGUUGAGCCUUUCUUUAGGAGCCUAGUAGCUUUGCAGGGAGCUGAGAAGAAUUUGAACAAAGACUGUUUAAGUUCAACAGACUAUCCAUACCAGUGCUUCUUUCCGCAAUAUAUACUUCCAUACAUCAGAACCCCUUACUUCAUUUUGAAUUCAGCUUACGACGUAUAUCAGUUCCAUCACAAUUUUGUGCAUCCUUCAUGUGAUCCUAAAGGCCAAUGGAGCCACUGUAAGUCGGAUCCUGGUGCAUGCAGUACAUCCCAAAUUGCGACUCUCCAAGGACUCAGGAAUGCAAUGUUGACGGCUCUGAAGCCGUUCCAAAAUGAACAGGGUGUAGGGAUGUUCAUAAAUUCUUGUUUUGCACAUUGCCAGAGUGAGCUGCAGGAAACAUGGUUAGCACCAAAUUCGCCCAGGUUGCAUAACAAGACAAUUGCAGAGCUGGUUGGUGAAUGGUACUUUGAGAGAGGGCCUGGCAUAGAAAUCGAUUGCGCAUAUCCUUGCGACUCAACUUGUCACAAUAUUAUACCUUCUAAUCAGGAAUUGGGGAUUUAGGAGUUUGGCAGGGGAGCAUCCAUGCCCAACUGUGAUCAAAAUAACAAAGAUUUCAUUUAGUUUGGUGAAUAAACUGAAGGAUGAACACUGUUACAAUAAUGGAGACUCAGGCAUCCACAAUGGAGGUCCCUGCAUGAACAUUCCUCCCAAAUUCUACAGCAUCAGCCUACAGAUGAUUCUUUACCUGUCUAUAUUGCACAUUGCAGAACAAUUCAUAAUUUCAUACGACAUUUGAUUGAACAGUAAAACAGAGCCAAUGCUCUUGUAACCACUGAUGUUCUGACACUUCUGUUUUCCUCUCACUGAUACAUGAAGAAACUAUUAAGUCUAUAA